GGGUAGCAUCUCAAAGGAAACGGGAACAACUCAGAAUCUUAUACAAAAAGAUCGUCAUCUGCUGAAAUUAAUGAUUUUGACUGAUGAAUGAGGGUUUUUAUUAAUGUGUUGAUGAUCAGUCUUUUUUGUUAGGGUUUUUUCCACUCAAUUUGGUAAUUUAAUGCAAGCUCUGGAGUGCGUCGCUGAUGUUAAAAAGGCAAUUGGAAAGGUUGGUUCCUGAUGUGGAACACUUUAAGGAGAAUGUGUAACUUUCAUCUUCAGCCGAUUGGAAGCACCCUUUCUAAGGUUUUCAAGAAAUUUUGGAGUGGAGAAAUAUGAUCCAACAAACGAGGAGUUCGAUCCAAACAGGCAUAAUGCAGUGUUUCAAGUGCCAGAUAAUACCAAGGCUCCCGAUACUGUUGCGGUUGUUCUUAAGGAAGGAUACACGCUCCAUGAUCGAAUAAUACGACCUGCUGAAGUUGGUGUGAUCAUAAAGGCAGAAUAAAGUAAUAGAUGUUGGAUCGAUAGUGUUGCCUCAUAGUGAUACUGUUCGAGGAUUUUUUUACAACGUUUUGUCGUGUUAGGACCAGGAUAAACUCCGAGGGAAAAAGUAUUUUAAGUUUUUUUAUUUGCUUCAUUUUUGUAUCAACUGUAAUAAAACAUGAUUACGUCAAGUCUCCCGAAA